rnacentral:piRNA from 1 species
UAGUUCGGAUUGACUUUUAUUAAGAGGCUA